CAACUAAGACUGAGGAGAGGAUGACG
rnacentral:sRNA from 1 species